rnacentral:rRNA from 1 species
UACGGGGGGAGCAAGCGUUGUUCGGAUUUACUGGGCGUAAAGGGCGCGUAGGCGGCGUAACACGUCACUUGUGAAAUCUCCGGGCUUAACCCGGAGCGGCCAAGUGAUACUGUUGUGCUAGAGUGCGGAAGGGGCUACUGGAAUUCCUGGUGUAGCGGUGGAAUGCGCAGAUAUCAGGAGGAACACCGGUGGCGAAGGCGGGUCUCUGGGCCGUAACUGACGCUGAGGAGCGAAAGCAUGGGGAGCGAACAGG